AGCUAACAAGUGGCUUCAGAUCGCUUCCAAGCCAAGAGAACCACCUCUCCUUUCGGUUUAGAACUUCCUCAUUUACACCCCCGCCUCACGAAAAGAAAAGGGACCACAUGAGUCAGAAAGCAGCUUGCCUUCAGAGAAGGGGCUCCCGUGGUCUCUCCUGGUGCUGCAGGAGGGGGGCAGAAGGAGCGUUCUCAACCCGCCCAACCUGGUGCAUCCAGCUGGAAGAAGGGAGCCUUCAGCCACAGAAAUGAAGAAAACUGCCUGGACAGUGUGCUCGUUAGCAUGUGUUCACCCCUGUUGGCGUUCCUGGCCUUGUGGUGUCUCUGCACGGGAGAGGAGAGUCUCAGGUCUGGAAGGGCUCAGAAAGAAGUGUGGUUUUAAAGAGAAAAACUUCUUGGGCUUUAACGAAGUCUGAAACAGACUCUGAAAUCUUUGUUAGGACCCUAUGGAGAGAUCCACAUGUCAAACAACUGAUAUCUACAGCCAAAAGGCAUUGAAGAUCGGAAGCCAGCUAGCAGCCAUGUGAAUGAGGUUGGAAACAGAACGUCCUCCAGUUGAACCCUGACAUGCCCUGUCUCCCUGUCCAACAUCUUGGGAAACUCUCAGGCCGAGCAUCUCACUGAGGGACACUCAGGCUCUUGAUCUAGAAAGACUGCAAUAUAAUAAAUGUUUGUUGUUUUAAGAGGCUAAA